rnacentral:rRNA from 1 species
UACGUAGGGGGCAAGCGUUGUCCGGAAUCAUUGGGCGUAAAGCGCGUGUAGGCGGCUAGAUAAGUCUGCUCUGAAAGCCCGGGGCUCAACCCCGGGAGGCGGGUGGAUACUGUCUAGCUCGAGUCCGGAAGAGGAGUGUGGAAUUCCUGGUGUAGCGGUGAAAUGCGCAGAUAUCAGGAGGAACACCAGCGGCGAAGGCGGCGCUCUGGGCCGGUACUGACGCUGAGGAGCGAAAGCGUGGGUAGCAAACAGG